rnacentral:rRNA from 1 species
AGUGAACGCUGGCGGUAGGCCUAACACAUGCAAGUCGAACGGCAGCACAGUAAGAGCUUGCUCUUACGGGUGGCGAGUGGCGGACGGGUGAGGAAUACAUCGGAAUCUACUUUUUCGUGGGGGAUAACGUAGGGAAACUUACGCUAAUACCGCAUACGACCUACGGGUGAAAGCAGUGGAUCUUCGGACCUUGCGCGAUUGAAUGAGCCGAUGUCGGAUUAGCUAGUUGGCGGGGUAAAGGCCCACCAAGGCGACGAUCCGUAGCUGGUCUGAGAGGAUGAUCAGCCACACUGGAACUGAGACACGGCCCAGACUCCUACGGGAGGCAGCAGUGGGGAAUAUUGGACACUGGGCGCAAGCCUGAUCCAGCCAUACCGCGUGGGUGAAGAAGGCCUUCGGGUUGUAAAGCCCUUUUGUUGGGAAAGAAAAGCAGCAGGUUAAUACCCCGCUGUUCUGACGGUACCCAAAGAAUAAGCACCGGCUAACUUCGUG